rnacentral:misc_RNA from 1 species
AGCAUCCUUCGGGAAGGUGGAAGUGGAGAUAGUCACCAUUCUGAUCAUGCCUUUUCUGAUGCUGCUCUAUUGGAUCAAAGGGAAGAUGCAAAUUCAAGUGGAGCUAGUACACCCAGGGGAGAUGUUCACUUUUCUCCAUUUGGGGUUUUUUCUAAUAUUGCAAAAGAGGAGCGCACUCCAGAAAAAUCCUCGAGAGAUUCUGGAGAUGAGAAUGAGGGAAAACCUGGGAUUUCUAAGAUUAUAACCUCAAAGGCAGAGG